rnacentral:rRNA from 1 species
UGGGGAAUAUUGCACAAUGGGCGCAAGCCUGAUGCAGCAACGCCGCGUGCGGGAAGACAGCCCUAGGGUUGUAAACCGCUUUCAGCAGGGAAGAAACUGACGGUACCUGCAGAAGAAGAUGCGGCCAACUACGUGCCAGCAGCCGCGGUGACACGUAGGCAUCAAGCGUUAUCCGGAUUUAUUGGGCGUAAAGAGCUCGUAGGCGGUUCGGUAAGUCGGGUGUGAAACUCUGGGCUCAACCCAGAGAGGCCACUCGAUACUGCUGUGACUAGAGUGCGGUAGGGGAGGCGGGGAAUUCCUGGUGUAGCGGUGAAAUGCGCAGAUAUCAGGAGGAACACCAGUGGCGAAGGCGGCUACCUGGACCAGUUCUGACGCUGAGGCGCGAAAGCGUGGGGAGCAAACAGGAUUAGAUACCCUGGUAGUCCACGCUGUAAACGAUGGGUACUCGGUGUUGCGGGU